CAGCACCUCAAGUGGUCAGAAUGAUUAUUGGGCCUAAAGCAUCCGUAGCCUGCUUUGUUAGUUUUCGGUUAAAUCCAUACGCUCGACGUAUGGGCUGCCGGGAAUACUGCAAAGCUAGGGAGUGGGAGAGGUAGACGGUACUCGGUAGGAAGGGGUAAAAUCCUUUGAUCUAUUGAUGACCACCUGUGGCGAAGGCGGUCUACCAGAACACGUCCGACGGUGAGGGAUGAAAGCUGGGGGAGCAAACCGGAUUAGAUACCCGAGUAGUCC
rnacentral:rRNA from 1 species